rnacentral:lncRNA from 1 species
UCAGUGGAGCCAUUAAGGCCGAAACGUUUCAGAUAUUCGGUACCCGAGUUACGGCUGAGUAUCUCUCCAAGAACCUUCUCCUGAACCGAGUCAGAGUUCCGUGUCAUCUCCUCAAUGAAACUGAGAGCCUUCGCGUCUUUCUCAGAGGUCGUCCGAGAUUGAAGAGGUGAAUCAACAGCCAUGAUUGAUCGAAUGUUUUCUUGUAAGAAAAGAGAACGUGUGUUUAAUAUUAGCAAAUGCUUUACUCGUUUGAUUGAUGAGGAUGGAGGAAGCUUAUGGCGCGGAGGAGACCGGAGGCAAAGACUGCUCCUAAACGGAGGACGUCGUGGCGCAUGACCAGACCGCAUAGCAUUUGAGCGUACAUGCUUUGGGAGGAGUCGGAGCAGAGGAUGGCUUCGUUGGGGCUGGUGUAGACGUUGUAGGGAUCGUAUGGUCGUCUCUUGAAGUGGUCGCUUUUGUAGUAGCUGGUGAGAACCGGACGAGCCGGUAACCCACCCGGCGUCUUGGACUCCGACUUCACAAACAGGAAGUAUAAGCCUUUGCCUUUGUCUAAUCCUGGCACGUAGCUGUGAUUAAUCAAACAUUUUUGGUUAAUUUAUUAUAACAAAGAAUAAUUAAAGAACAGCUACAAAAAAGAAUAAUUAAAGAAAUUUAUAUUUUUUUUGCUAUGAAUAUAGUUAAAGGAAAUGUUUAAGAGUAUUUGUACUAACAGAUUCAUCACGGGCAUGAGAAGACUGUACAAAAGCUGACGUCGGUCUAAGUCUUCGUCAAUUGUCGGCAUUAAUUUUCUUUCACCAGCAGAUGUCCCAGAGCUGCAUAUACGUACAAAAAUUAUGCUAUGGUCAACUAUAAUGAUUUUAUAAAAGUGCUAUGAUAUUAACUAUUGAUAAAGUUGUCUUACUUUAAUUUGUGACUAUAAUUAUUUUAUAAAAAAAUAUGUUAUUAACUAUUGAUAAAGUUGUCUUACUUUGUGACUAUAAUCAUUUUAUAAAAAGUUUAUGUUAUGAUAUUAACUAUUGAUAAAGUUGUCUGACCUUGUGAGAAACUCGGUGAUGGGGUGAGAAGACAAGAUCGGAGAACGGUCACCGUUGGAUAUACGUUGAAUCUCGGGCUUUAAAUCCUCGUAAGUCACCACGGGAACUUUGGUCUUGAAUGUUUUCCGAUCAGUGGAGCCAUUAAGGCCGAAACGUUUCAGAUAUUCGGUACCCGAGUUACGGCUGAGUAUCUCUCCAAGAACCUUCUCCUGAACCGAGUCAGAGUUCCGUGUCAUCUCCUCAAUGAAACUGAGAGCCUUCGCGUCUUUCUCAGAGGUCGUCCGAGAUUGAAGAGGUGAAUCAACAGCCAUGAUUGAUCGAAUGUUUUCUUGUAAGAAAAGAGAACGUGUGUUUAAUAUUAGCAAAUGCUUUACUCGU